AAAGCUAGAUGGGAUGUGUGGACUAGAAUAUAGAAUAUACAUGAAUGAAGAAUGAGCCUUUGUUUCUCUUCCUUAAACUAUUUUGGUUUUGGUUCUGUCCUGGCAGCAGUUAGAAUAGCAGGGAAAUAUUGACUCUUCAACAAAACGCGGAGAAUCUGCAAAGCUUCUUUUUCAAAACCUUCACUUACAUCUUCCGCCAAGUCAAUAUGAUGUGGCUCAAUAGGCACAGGCACAACAUUAAUAUUCUGCUACCACCUACAAAAGUAAUUCCCAUUAUUAUUAUUAUUCUUAAUUUCUUAUAGUAUUUUUUAAUAUGGCACGGUGUGAAAUGAAAUAUUCAAAUGUGCAUUCAAAUGCUGGUUAGUACAACGAGACAACCAAGGACUACAAAUAUAUUUCCUAUAUUUGAUUAUUACGCGUGCUACUAGUCCACCGUGUUCCCUAGCCACGUUGAAAUCUGACUCCAUUUUGAUCACAUAUGUAACCAAACCAAAGCAAAAAAAAAAAAAAGAAGCAUUUCUUACCUCUUAAGAGCUUAUAUAUAUAGGUAGAUAGCAAAGUUGUUUCGGACACAUACCAAACUCGCAUUCUGUUUUCCGCUGCUUGUUUGUGCCUGCGUAGCUACAAAGUAAAAGAGGUGAAAAUCAUUGCUUGCUGUUGUUGUUGCAUUCAUUGUAUGUAUUAAUGUAGCCACAUGCAUGAUUCCAUGAACAUGUCUUUAAUUCUCAUUGUUAAUUAAUGAGUUGCAUUAGCAGGGAC
rnacentral:lncRNA from 1 species